GUGCUCACUUCAGCAGCACAUAGACUAAAAUUAGAACAAUACAGAGAAGACUAGCAUGGCCCCUGAACAAGGGUGACAUGCAAAUUUGUGAAGCAUUCCAUAUAUUC